rnacentral:rRNA from 1 species
GACGUAGGGCGCGAGCGUUGCUCGGAAUUAUUGGGCGUAAAGCGUACGCAGGCGGCUCGGUAAGUCGAGUGUGAAAUCCCGAGGCUCAACCUCGGACGUGCAUUCGAUACUGUCGAGCUUGAAUGCGGGAGAGGGAAGCGGAAUUUCCAGUGUAGGGGUGAAAUCCGUAGAUAUUGGAAGGAAUACCGAUGGCGAAGGCAGCUUUCUGGCACGUAACUGACACUGAGAUUCGAAAGCGUGGGUAGCAAACAGG